UCUUAUGUAUUUCAGUUGCACUCGAAAAAACGAAAUCACAUAACGCAACAGAAAUUGAAUGAUAGUGAUUUUAUCUAGUAUAAUAAGAAAUUGCAGCGUCGUUACCUAGAAAUCCAACAAUAUAACGAUAAUGAUAAAGCUAAUGAUCCUAUUUUUGGAGGAGCGUGAUGAAAAUGACGAAUGGUUGGAGUUACGAAAUAAAACUAAUCUCCCCACAAUGGUUUUUAUGAGAGGUAUUUUUGUAAAUAAUAGAGCUCAAUAAUGGAAUUCAGAAACGUCUGCGGGAGAAAGAAAUUUCAUGAGAAAUUUUUCAGUAGAACCUAUGUUACCUUUUUCUGUUUUUUAUUUCCUCGCUCGGUUCCUCUCUCCCAUUUCCGAUCUCAUUUUUCUUUUCUUUUCUAUCUGAUUCUUAUUCUUCUUCUCCACUUCUAACCUAAAAAAUCCCAAACAUGAGUGAAAUCAACAAACCCUUCUCUUGAUUUCUUUUCUGAAAUCCCUCAUCUCAUUAUUCAAGUGAUCUUGGGGUGAUGUUGGAGUUCUUCUUUAACAUAUUCUCGUUCUCAAACUUCAUAAGACUCUCAGGUUCAGUUGGAUCUACAGGCGAGGGGAUUGAAGAAGCAUUGGAAGACGCUUAACCCAAACAUUAGAUGCUAGAUGAACUUGGAGGUGACAGAAAGCUCAUCACUUCAGAGUUAGCGCUUGUGCUGGACCAUUGGUGUGUUUGAUUCCGGUGGGCAGACUACUGGGUUACUUUCAACCGGGUCAUAGUGAACAGGUGUAUGUACUGUUUCAGGAACUUAAACAUGCUUCGUUUUGUAAAAAUACUAAAGAAAUUUGACAAAGUAAGUAUAAUGGGUACUCUGUAUCCUUGAGAUUUCAAUUAGUCAUUGAAUGCUUUUAUAGUUUAUACCCCAGUACUUAGUAUGAUAAAUUACUGAGAUUUUUUAUUUGAUUUUCAGGUUGUAAAGAACAAGCUUUAUCAUAAAUUCCUUUGAAUGAAUAUAAUUAGAUUACUGACUGUAAUUUGCUUCUUAGACUUUUAUUUUUGUUAUCGGGAGUAUGGAAUAUUCUUCACAGACCCUUGAGUUAUAGUUCUAAAUAGACCCUUGUUUCAAAUGGUUCUGGAGAGAGAAUGUGGAUAUGACAAGCACAUCAUAUAUAUCCAACUGAACCUUGGUUCAAUAUAUGGUUCAUCCAUAAACUUGUUCUGUUGAUGCAGCGGUUCAAUAGUUUGUGCUUUGACAUUGUUCGGUACAAACAUCUGCUAAAAUCUGGAUAGUCAUCUUUAACAUGUGGAUGUGUCAAUCGACCAGUUGGGUUUAGGUACACUUGGCUAGAUUGAACUACUCAAUCUAAUGUUUAUAUGGUUGAUCGUCAUCCAAGCAGCAACUCCUGUUUAGUUGAUAAACAAAUUACAAAAGACUCAGAGGAGUCAUGGUAACAGUGGUGCUGUUUGUGUUAAAUUCACAUCCAACUUGCCAGAUAAAUCCAUGGUGAACAUUAGCACACAUAUUCCUGAAUGACUAAACUACUGAUGUGCUGUGAAAUGACAGUUGGGGUUCUAUUCUUCAUGUGCUUAUCUGAGUUCCUUAGAACAAGAUCAUAAUCGUAAACCCUGAUACGGAACUUCUAAGACAUAUAUAAUUAAUGACAGGUUUCAGAUGGCAGUUGGCAAGUACAAUCUUUUUGAAGAACUAGGAAGCCAUAGACAAGGAUCCUUAUUUCUAUAAUAUUUUUACUCACUUGUUGGAAUCAUUCUUAAGAUUGGAGUAAUGGAAGAUUUUGAAGCUUUUUGAUUUGUCAAGUUUGCUAGUAAAUGAAGUGUUGUCUGUAGUAAGCUGCUAGCUCGCAUGGAAGAUUUUGAAGCUUUUUGAUUUAUUAAGUUUGUAAAAGGAAUGUAGGUUGAGCAUUUUUUACUUAUCGUUGAAAUUUUCAUAUUUAGAACUUAAAAGGUAUGAUAAUAGAAGUUGUAAACAAACUCAUUUUAAUACAGAUCAAGUUUUAAGUUAUCAA